rnacentral:rRNA from 1 species
CCUACGGGAGGCUGCAGUGAGGAAUAUUGGUCAAUGGCCGGAAGGCUGAACCAGCCAUGCCGCGUGAAGGUCAGUGCCCUAUGGGCGUUAAACUUCUUUUGUGCGGGAGCAAUAAUGGUCACGUGUGGCCAGACGAGAGUACCGUACGAAUAAGCAUCGGCUAACUCCGUGCCAGCAGCCGCGGUAAUACGGGGGAUGCAAGCGUUAUCCGGAUUUAUUGGGUUUAAAGGGUGCGUAGGCUGGGAGGUAAGUCAGCGGGGGAAUGCCCCCGCUCAAAGGGGUGAAGUGCCAUUGCUACUGCCUUGCUGGAAUGCGGUUGAGGUGGGAGGAAUGUGUGGUGUAGCGGUGAAAUGCAUAGAUAUCACACAGAACACCGAGUGCGAAGGCAGCUCACGAAUCCGCGAUUGACGCUGAUGCACGAAAGCGUGGGUAUCAAACAGGAUUAGAUACCCGAGUAGUC